rnacentral:rRNA from 1 species
GAUGAACGCUGGCGGCGUGCCUAAUACAUGCAAGUCGAACGAAACUUCUUUAUCACCGAGUGCUUGCACUCACCGAUAAAGAGUUGAGUGGCGAACGGGUGAGUAGCACGUGGGCAACCUGCCCAAAAGAGGGGGAUAACACUUGGAAACAGGUGCUAAUACCGCAUAACCAUAGUUACCGCAUGGUAACUAUGUAAAAGGUGGCUAUACUACCGCUUUUGGAUGGGCCCGCGGCGCAUUAGCUAGUUGGUAGGGUAAAGGCUUACCAAGGCAAUGAUGCGUAGCCGAAUUGAGAGGUUGAUCGGCCACAUUGGGACUGAGACACGGCCCAAACUCCUACGGGAGGCAGCAGUAGGGAAUCUUCCACAAUGGGCGAAAGCCUGAUGGAGCAACGCCGCGUGGGUGAAGAAGGUCUUCGGAUCGUAAAACCCUGUUGUUAGAGAAGAAAGUGCGUGAGAGUAACUGUUCACGUUUCGACGGUAUCUAACCGGAAAGCCACGGCUAACUACGUG